UUGAUCAUUGGCAGCACAUGUACUAAAAUUGGAACGAUACAGAGAAGACUAGCAUGGCUCCUGUGCAAAGGUGCCACGCACAUUCAUGAAGCGUUUUUUAUUAAA